CGCGGCCUAUCAGCUUGUUGGUGAGGUAACGGCUCACCAAGGCAUCGACGGGUAGCUGGUCUGAGAGGACGAUCAGCCACACUGGGACUGAGACACGGCCCAGACUCCUGCGGGAGGCAGCGGUGGGGAAUCUUGCGCAAUGGGCGAAAGCCUGACGCAGCAACGCCGCGUGGGGGAUGAAGGCUCUCGGGUUGUAAACCCCUUUCAGCAGGGACGAAAUUGACGGUACCUGCAGAAGAAGCCCCGGCCAACUACGUGCCAGCAGCCGCGGUGACACGUAGGGGGCGAGCGUUGUCCGGAAUUAUUGGGCGUAAAGAGCUCGUAGGCGGUUUAGUAAGUCAGAUGUGAAAGGUUGGGGCUCAACCCUAAGACUGCAUCCGAUACUGCUAUGACUAGAGUCCGGUAGAGGAGUGUGGAAUUCCUGGUGUAGCGGUGAAAUGCGCAGAUAUCAGGAGGAACACCGACGGCGAAGGCAGCACUCUGGGCCGGUACUGACGCUCAGGAGCGAAAGCGUGGGUAGCAAACAGGAUUAGAUACCCUGGUAGUCCACGCCGUAAACGUUGGGCACUAGGUGUGGGGCCUUAUCAACGGGUUCCGUGCCGUAGCUAACGCAUUAAGUGCCCCGCCUGGGGAGUACGG
rnacentral:rRNA from 1 species